UAUAUGAAAAUCUUGUGAUCUUCUGCUAGUUUUUGCUGUGGAACUAAAACUGCUCUAAAAAAUAGAAGUCUGUUAAAAAUCAUAUGCUCAAACAAUAUUGACUUUUAAAUAAAAUCUGUAGCCCUGUUCAUUAUAGAAGAUUGAAAUGUAAAUGUAUCUGAAGAUUAUUCUGCCAAAGGAUAAGUCUUGUUUGAAUUUCAAAUCGAUCAGAAAAUGAAGAGGAAAACUGAGGACAUUUUACUGAAGGACAAAAUUUUCAGUAACAUAUUUUCUUUCUUGCACGUACUCCAGGAAAAUGCUCUAGAACGCUUUAUAAGCACAGUGGAAAUUCAGGUAAAUGAACAUCCCAUUUGUUUAUUCUUUCUAUUGCUUCCCUUGUCUGAGAAGACAUGGUGUCCAAAAAGAUCCUUUCGAUACUGAUGUCAAAGAGUGUACUGCCUACAUUUUCUUCUAGAAGCCUUAUGGUUUCAGAUCUCACCUUUAGGUCUUUGAUCCAUUUUGAAUGUAUUUUGGUGAAUGGUGAAAAAGAAUGGUUAAUUUUCAUUCUUUUACAUGUGGCUGUCCAGUUUUCCCAGCACCAUUUGUUGAAGAGACUUUCUUUUCUCCAUUGUAUGCCCUCAGCUCCUUUGUCGAAGAUUAGCUGUCCACAGAUGUGUGGUUUUACUUCUGGGAUUUCAAUUCUGUUCCAUUGAUCUGUGCACCUGUUUUUGUACCAGUACCAUGCUGUUUUGAUUACUGUAGCUUUGGAGUAUGUUUUAAGGUCAGGGAUAGUGAUGCCUCCAGCUUUGUUCUUCUUUCUCAGGAUUGCUUUAGCAAUUUGAGGUCUUUUGUUGCCCCAUAUGAAUUUUAGGAUUCUUUGUUCUAUUUCUUUAAAGAAUGUCAUUGGGAUUCUGAUUGGGAUGGUGUUGAAUCUGUAGAUUGCUUUAGGUAGAAUGAACAUUUUAACUAUGUUUAUUCUUCCAAUCCAUGUGCAUGGAAUGUCUUUCCAUCUCUUUAUGUCAUCAUCCGUUUCUUUCAGAAAAGCCUUGUAAUUUUCGUUGUAUAGGUCUUUACUUCCUUAGUUAAAUUCACCCCAAGGUAUUUUAUUCUUUUUGUUGUGAUUGUGAAUGGUUUUGUGUUCUUGAGUUCUUUUUCUGUUAGUUCAUUAGUAGAGUAUAGAAAUGUGACUGAUUUAUGUAAAUUGAUUUUAUACCCUGCAACUUUGCUGUAGUUGUUGAUUACUUCUAAAAGUUUUCCAAUGGAUUCUUUGGGGUUUUCUAUAUAUAAGAUCAUUUCAUCUGCAAACAGGGAGAGUUUCACUUCUUCCCUCCCUAUUUGGAUUCCUUUUAUUCCUUUUUCUUGCCUAAUUGCUCUGGCCAAAACCUCCAGUACUAUGUUAAAUAAGAGUGGUGAUAGAGGGCAUCCUUGUCUCAUUCCUGUUUUCAGGGCGAUGGCGCUCAGUUUUUGCCCAUUGAAUAUGAUGUUGGCUGUGGGUUUGUCAUAUGUGGCCUUUAUUAUGUUGAGGUAGUUCCCUUCUAUCCCCAUUUUGUUCAGAGUUUUUAUCAUAAAUGACUGUUGGAUCUUGUCAAAUGCUUUCUCUGCAUCUAUUGAGAUGAUCAUGUGGUUUUUAUUCCUCAGUUUGUUGAUGUGGUGUAUCACGUUGAUUG
ensembl:lncRNA